GCCAAUUUUCUUAUCCAAAUUAUAUGCCUCCAUUAUCUGAUAAUAAUGAAGCCAAUCUCUCACUUUAUUUUUUAAUUUCUCAAAACUCUGCAAUUUCAAUUUGUCUCCUUCUUGUUCCACCACACAUCCUUCCACAGUGGGGACAUAGGUUUCCGGGCAGGAGUUGAUCAUGGUGAGGGUUUGCCCAGCGUGCCUUCCUCUUAGCAAGUUUCUCCCUUUCAUCCCGAGUUUGAGUGUCUUCAAAACCCAUGACACCUUUGGUAAAGGCUAUUCUCCAGUUGGAACGCUGGCAGGUCAGUGUUUCCCAGUUGUCGGUGUUUAUACUACAUUUUUUUAGAUUUGCCUUGAGCGAGACUUUAAACCUCUUUUGUUGACCACCAGCAUUAUGCUUUCCAUUUUUAAGUUCAGAAUAGAGUAGUUGCUUUGGAAGACGAUAAUCAGGCAUCCGCACAACAUGACCAGUCCCACGAAGUUGAUGAUUGCUUUGACACUGAUGAUCUUUGCUUCUUCCAGUACAAUGGCAUUAGUUCACCUGGCUUCCCAAGGUGAUGUGUAAAAAUUUUUCUAAGACACCGUGGAUGGAAUAAUUCGAAGCGUUGGAGAUGGCAUGAAAGUAAACCCCAGUGAACUCUCUCAGUGGGACUUUCAAAUAGACAUAAAAUGAAUUACACUGCAGCCCUGGGCAGUCAUUGCUGUCUCCGCCUUUGCGAUGACAUAAACUGGAGUCAAGAGAAGGAAGUAGACACUGCGGCUGUUCUAAAACGUUUGCCCACAAACGUUUGCCGCAGCUCAGAGGGGAAGAGAUGUGGAUCAUCUGGUGUGUGGCCACUUGCCUCUUGGAAGUAGGUAAGACCUUCACUCAAUGAUUCUUAUUUAAGACAUUGUUUUAAAGGGUUUCUUCACAAGCUUCCCUCUCCCUCUCUCCCCCAGGAUGGUCCAAUGCAGAGAUCAGGCAGCAGUGGAGUCUGGUGCUUCAGGAAGGCAGAAAUGCCAGGCUGGAAUGCGAACAAACUACCGACCACAACAGCAUGUUUUGGUUCCGGCAAGACCCAGGACAGGGUCUGCAGCUUCUCUUUAGUUUCUAUUUAAACCAGCUACAGCAUCAAGGCAACAUUUCUGAGCGUUUCCAAGCUGAGCAGCGUGAAACAAAGCAAUGCCACCUUAACAUUUCCCCAGCCAGAACAGAGGAUUCAGCCGUGUAUUUCUGUGCAAGCAGCAAAGACACAGCAUUUCAAAGUCACCUCUUCUUCCUACCAAAACCUCACUUCAUUGAUGUGCAUGGAGGGUAGAGCGAAGAUGACUUAUCCAGUGGCAGAGGGUUCUUAACCCCACAAUGGCCAGCGCUCAGCUGCAAAAGCAGACGAUUGUUUUAAUUGAUGUUGGACCAGCUGGGCUCUGAAAUUAGAACUGAGCAUGGCUUGCUAAGAGGGGGGUUGUUGGGAAACUGUGUACGUGCAGCUCCUCACACAGAGUCAAUUAAGGUUUGGCAGACAGCCAGAAGGCAAUCUGAAGGAGUAAGUCUGCCUGGAGAUAACAGAGACAUGGAGACCGCUCCCUGAUUGGUCAAGCUCUCUCAAGGGAGUAAUAAUUAAUGGCCUACUAACUAGAAUGUGUUAGUUCAGGAGUUCAUUGUUCAGAGUUCUGUGUCAGUGUAGGAGUUGUGAGUCGUGUAAGAGAGAGCUAGCUAAAGAUCCAUGUUCUGUUCCUGUAAAUAGUCCACUGUAUAUAAUAAACACC